rnacentral:rRNA from 1 species
UACGGGGGGGGCGAGCGUUGUUCGGAAUUACUGGGCGUAAAGGGCGCGUAGGCGGUCUGCUAAGUUGGAUGUGAAAACUCUGGGCUUAACCCAGAGCCUGCAUUCAAUACUGACAGGCUAGAGUUCUGGAGGGGAUAGCGGAAUUCCUGGUGUAGCGGUGAAAUGCGUAGAUAUCAGGAGGAACACCGGUGGCGAAGGCGGCUAUCUGGACAGAGACUGACGCUGAGGCGCGAAAGCUAGGGGAGCAAACAGG